rnacentral:lncRNA from 1 species
UAUGUUAUUAGCAGUGCAUACAGUAUUUGCCGAUGUUUUCACAUGAGAGGUAAAAGCUCCGUAAAUCAUCGGUGGCCAUUUACUCAAUUGCGAACAUGCCUUAAAUCCAUAUUUAAUUUUUCACAAUUAGCGAAACUGUUUUGGUGGAUGUAUGCCAAAUGUGUUCGGCCUAAUUAUUUUCUGAAAUACCUAGUAGCCACACAGAUCAGAAUUCGAAUGGAUCUUCCCAAGGGAAAAACGAUGCAGCGACGCUGGCGACGUUUGAAGACAUCCCCAAUGGACAUUGGAAGAUUCAGCAAUACGCGCAAUCGGGCUUGCUGCCAAACCAAUUCAGCUGCAAUAAUAUUUGCAUAAACUGGAUUUGUCGUGUCUGAUUCAUAAAUCAUGCAGCGUAAUAACGACCGCCGAAGAAGCCGGCCUUUGAAGCAUGCAGUGCCGCUUGGUUCAGCAGCUGUACUGUAAACAAUGUUGUUGUUCUUACUGCAAUUCCCGCCUAGAAUGCCGUUCAAUCGGAUGUAUUUUUCGUGAUCGUCUCUAAACGGAGAACGGAAAGAAGAUCUUCAGAGCUUUUGGCUGCAGAACAGCGGCAAAACCAUCGAUCAUAUAGACGAAAGCUGUCGUCGUCACGUAGAUCGCAGUCGAACGACGGCAGGCGAGUCCUGUCGUGAGAAAAGGAGCUUCACGACGUUUUGCCGUUUCUUACAACUGACACGAAGAGCUGGAAUGAGGCAGUCGCUACCUAUAUAAACGGAAAAGCAAUCAACGGGAAACGAAGAGAGAAAAAUUGUCGUACAUUGAGAGUCUGCAACUGCUGUGCGCCGCACCCCGGCGCUCCUGAAUCAUUCAUCAUGGAACGCUCGCCGAUUUCGUAUCACUUUUCAUCGAAAUUACAUCUUUGAUCUCGCGACGGGAUCACGAUUGCAGUCUAGCUUUUUAAUUAAUUCAAAAUGGACGCGUUGAUAACGUUUCUAAAAUUAAUUCAUCGAGUAUAGCGUGAUCCAUCAUUCGCCCACGAGAAAAGAUUUAUCAUGUUGAAAAGUUCUCUAUCCCGAGUCAUUUAAUUUAUAAUUGUUAUGUACAUCUAUUACUUUAUUUGACAUCACCGUAA